UCUUAUGGAUGAGCAAAGAAAGUGGUUUCAUGAGAUGCAAGCUACUCCUGUUGAAGGUGCUAUGAA
rnacentral:pre_miRNA from 1 species